ensembl:snoRNA small nucleolar RNA U109
UUACGUGUGGAAAUACCUCUUCUUUUUAGGAGCGGGAUACAUUCAUAACAGGCUGCAAUGAAAAAGGAGUUCUCAGAAAUCCCAACCUUACAGCAGAGGUUAGUAGUUCCAUAUUUUUUCCAACAUAA